CAUUACCUAGAGUUGUAGGCUUUGCCUACCAUCUCUUACCCAUGUCUUUUGAGUACCUUCGUUUCCUCGGCGGGUCCGCCCGCCGAUUGGACAAACUUAAACCCUUUGUAAUUGAAAUCAGCGUCUGAAAAAACAUAAUAGUUACAACUUUCAACAACGGAUCUCUUGGUUCUGGCAUCGAUGAAGAACGCAGCGAAAUGCGAUAAGUAGUGUGAAUUGCAGAAUUCAGUGAAUCAUCGAAUCUUUGAACGCACAUUGCGCCCCUUGGUAUUCCAUGGGGCAUGCCUGUUCGAGCGUCAUUUGUACCUUCAAGCUCUGCUUGGUGUUGGGUGUUUGUCUCGCCUUUGCGUGUAGACUCGCCUUAAAACAAUUGGCAGCCGGCGUAUUGAUUUCGGAGCGCAGUACAUCUCGCGCUUUGCACUCACAACGACGACGUCCAAAAAGUACUUUUUACACUCUUGACCUCGGAUCAGGUAGGGAUACCCGCUGAACUUAAGCAUA
rnacentral:rRNA from 1 species